GACGUAGGGCGCGAGCGUUGUCCGGAUUUAUUGGGCGUAAAGAGCUCGUAGGCGGCUUGUCGCGUCGACUGUGAAAUCCCGCGGCUCAACCGCGGGUCUGCAGUCGAUACGGGCAGGCUAGAGUUCGGUAGGGGAGACUGGAAUUCCUGGUGUAGCGGUGAAAUGCGCAGACAUCAGGAGGAACACCGAUGGCGAAGGCAGGUCUCUGGGCCGAUACUGACGCUGAGGAGCGAAAGCGUGGGGAGCGAACAGG
rnacentral:rRNA from 1 species